rnacentral:piRNA from 1 species
UGGAGUGUGCUUUCAGUUUCAGUAAGUCCAA